rnacentral:rRNA from 1 species
AGCGUACACGGUGGAUGCCCUGGCAGUCAGAGGCGAUGAAGGACGUGCUAAUCUGCGAUAAGCGUCGGUGAGGUGAUAUGAACCGUUAUAACCGGCGAUUUCCGAAUGGGGAAACCCAGUGUGUUUCGACACACUAUCAUUAACUGAAUCCAUAGGUUAAUGAGGCGAACCGGGGGAACUGAAACAUCUAAGUACCCCGAGGAAAAGAAAUCAACCGAGAUUCCCCCAGUAGCGGCGAGCGAACGGGGAGGAGCCCAGAGCCUGAAUCAGUGUGUGUGUUAGUGGAAGCGUCUGGAAAGGCGCGCGAUACAGGGUGACAGCCCCGUACACAAAAAUGCACAUAUUGUGAGCUCGAUGAGUAGGGCGGGACACGUGGUAUCCUGUCUGAAUAUGGGGGGACCAUCCUCCAAGGCUAAAUACUCCUGACUGACCGAUAGUGAACCAGUACCGUGAGGGAAAGGCGAAAAGAACCCCGGCGAGGGGAGUGAAAAAGAACCUGAAACCGUGUACGUACAAGCAGUGGGAGCCUCUUAAUGGGGUGACUGCGUACCUUUUGUAUAAUGGGUCAGCGACUUAUAUUCUGUAGCAAGGUUAACCGAAUAGGGGAGCCGAAGGGAAACCGAGUCUUAACUGGGCGUUAAGUUGCAGGGUAUAGACCCGAAACCCGGUGAUCUAGCCAUGGGCAGGUUGAAGGUUGGGUAACACUAACUGGAGGACCGAACCGACUAAUGUUGAAAAAUUAGCGGAUGACUUGUGGCUGGGGGUGAAAGGCCAAUCAAACCGGGAGAUAGCUGGUUCUCCCCGAAAGCUAUUUAGGUAGCGCCUCGUGAAUUCAUCUCCGGGGGUAGAGCACUGUUUCGGCAAGGGGGUCAUCCCGACUUACCAACCCGAUGCAAACUGCGAAUACCGGAGAAUGUUAUCACGGGAGACACACGGCGGGUGCUAACGUCCGUCGUGAAGAGGGAAACAACCCAGACCGCCAGCUAAGGUCCCAAAGUCAUGGUUAAGUGGGAAACGAUGUGGGAAGGCCCAGACAGCCAGGAUGUUGGCUUAGAAGCAGCCAUCAUUUAAAGAAAGCGUAAUAGCUCACUGGUCGAGUCGGCCUGCGCGGAAGAUGUAACGGGGCUAAACCAUGCACCGAAGCUGCGGCAGCGACACUAUGUGUUGUUGGGUAGGGGAGCGUUCUGUAAGCCUGUGAAGGUGGCCUGUGAGGGUUGCUGGAGGUAUCAGAAGUGCGAAUGCUGACAUAAGUAACGAUAAAGCGGGUGAAAAGCCCGCUCGCCGGAAGACCAAGGGUUCCUGUCCAACGUUAAUCGGGGCAGGGUGAGUCGACCCCUAAGGCGAGGCCGAAAGGCGUAGUCGAUGGGAAACAGGUUAAUAUUCCUGUACUUGGUGUUACUGCGAAGGGGGGACGGAGAAGGCUAUGUUGGCCGGGCGACGGUUGUCCCGGUUUAAGCGUGUAGGCUGGUUUUCCAGGCAAAUCCGGAAAAUCAAGGCUGAGGCGUGAUGACGAGGCACUACGGUGCUGAAGCGACAAAUGCCCUGCUUCCAGGAAAAGCCUCUAAGCAUCAGGUAACAUCAAAUCGUACCCCAAACCGACACAGGUGGUCAGGUAGAGAAUACCAAGGCGCUUGAGAGAACUCGGGUGAAGGAACUAGGCAAAAUGGUGCCGUAACUUCGGGAGAAGGCACGCUGAUAUGUAGGUGAAGCGACUUGCUCGUGGAGCUGAAAUCAGUCGAAGAUACCAGCUGGCUGCAACUGUUUAUUAAAAACACAGCACUGUGCAAACACGAAAGUGGACGUAUACGGUGUGACGCCUGCCCGGUGCCGGAAGGUUAAUUGAUGGGGUUAGCGGUAACGCGAAGCUCUUGAUCGAAGCCCCGGUAAACGGCGGCCGUAACUAUAACGGUCCUAAGGUAGCGAAAUUCCUUGUCGGGUAAGUUCCGACCUGCACGAAUGGCGUAAUGAUGGCCAGGCUGUCUCCACCCGAGACUCAGUGAAAUUGAACUCGCUGUGAAGAUGCAGUGUACCCGCGGCAAGACGGAAAGACCCCGUGAACCUUUACUAUAGCUUGACACUGAACAUUGAGCCUUGAUGUGUAGGAUAGGUGGGAGGCUUUGAAGUGUGGACGCCAGUCUGCAUGGAGCCGACCUUGAAAUACCACCCUUUAAUGUUUGAUGUUCUAACGUGGGCCCCUUACCGGGGUUGCGGACAGUGUCUGGUGGGUAGUUUGACUGGGGCGGUCUCCUCCUAAAGAGUAACGGAGGAGCACGAAGGUUGGCUAAUCCUGGUCGGACAUCAGGAGGUUAGUGCAAUGGCAUAAGCCAGCUUGACUGCGAGCGUGACGGCGCGAGCAGGUGCGAAAGCAGGUCAUAGUGAUCCGGUGGUUCUGAAUGGAAGGGCCAUCGCUCAACGGAUAAAAGGUACUCCGGGGAUAACAGGCUGAUACCGCCCAAGAGUUCAUAUCGACGGCGGUGUUUGGCACCUCGAUGUCGGCUCAUCACAUCCUGGGGCUGAAGUAGGUCCCAAGGGU